UACGUAGGGUGCAAGCGUUGUCCGGAAUUAUUGGGCGUAAAGAGCUUGUAGGCGGUUUGUCGCGUCUGCUGUGAAAUUUCGGGGCUCAACCCCCGAACUUGCAGUGGGUACGGGCAGACUAGAGUGUGGUAGGGGAGACUGGAAUUCCUGGUGUAGCGGUGAAAUGCGCAGAUAUCAGGAGGAACACCGGUGGCGAAGGCGGGUCUCUGGGCCGAAAUUGACGCUGAGGAGCGAAAGCGUGGGGAGCAAACAGG
rnacentral:rRNA from 1 species